rnacentral:rRNA from 1 species
UACGUAGGGUGCAAGCGUUAAUCGGAAUUACUGGGCGUAAAGCGUGCGCAGGCGGUUAUGUAAGACAGGGGUGAAAUCCCCGGGUUUAACCUGGGAACUGCAUUUGUGACUGCAUAGCUAGAGUACGGUAGAGGGGGAUGGAAUUCCGCGUGUAGCAGUGAAAUGCGUAGAUAUGCGGAGGAGCACCGAUGGCGAAGGCAAUCCCCUGGACCUGUACUGACGCUCAUGCACGAAAGCGUGGGGAGCAAACAGG